AGCUCGAUUUCUCCCAAUCUCCAAGUUUGGAUCACCCUCCUCUCGAUCUUCAAGAGGUAAGUGUAGAUCCUUCUCUUCUUUCAUGUUUUAAGUAAGCUUUAAGAAGGGGUUAAGGGUUUUGAUGCAUGUUUAGGCUAGUUGUAGAAUGUUAGGGUUUUUGUUAGUUAAAUGUUAAAUGUAUGUUAAAUGUGAUGUUUGUUGGGGUAUAGGUUAGUUUUAUGCCCCUAUAUGCUU
rnacentral:lncRNA from 1 species